UACGUAGGGUGCGAGCGUUGUCCGGAAUUACUGGGCGUAAAGAGCUCGUAGGUGGUUUGUCGCGUUGUUCGUGAAAACUCACAGCUCAACUGUGGGCGUGCGGGCGAUACGGGCAGGCUGGAGUACUGCAGGGGAGACUGGAAUUCCUGGUGUAGCGGUGGAAUGCGCAGAUAUCAGGAGGAACACCGAUGGCGAAGGCAGGUCUCUGGGCAUUAACUGACGCUGAGGAGCGAAAGCAUGGGGAGCGAACAGG
rnacentral:rRNA from 1 species